rnacentral:rRNA from 1 species
AUUGAACGCUGGCGGCAGGCCUAACACAUGCAAGUCGAACGGUAGCACAGAGAGCUUGCUCUCGGGUGACGAGUGGCGGACGGGUGAGUAACGUCUGGGAAACUGCCCGAUGGAGGGGGAUAACUACUGGAAACGGUAGCUAAUACCGCAUAACGUCGCAAGACCAAAGUGGGGGACCUUCGGGCCUCACACCAUCGGAUGUGCCCAGAUGGGAUUAGCUAGUAGGUGGGGGUAAUGGCUCACCUAGGCGACGAUCCCUAGCUGGUCUGAGAGGAGGGCCAGCCACACUGGAACUGAGACACGGUGCAGACUCCUACGGGAGGCAGCAGUGGGGAAUAUUGCACGAUGGGCGCAAGCCUGAUGCAGCCAUGCCGCGUGUAUGAAGAAGGCCUUCGGGUUGUAAAGUACUUUCAGCGGGGAGGAAGGCGGUGAAGUUAAUAACUUCACCGAUUGACGUUACCCGCAGAAGAAGCACCGGCUAACUCCGUGCCAGCCGCCGCCGUAA